UACGUAGGGUGCAAGCGUUGUCCGGAAUUAUUGGGCGUAAAGAGCUCGUAGGCGGCUAGUCACGUCGGAUGUGAAAACCCGAGGCUCAACCUCGGGCCUGCAGCCGAUACGGGCAGACUAGAGUUCGGCAGGGGAGACUGGAAUUCCUGGUGUAGCGGUGAAAUGCGCAGAUAUCAGGAGGAACACCGGUGGCGAAGGCGGGUCUCUGGGCCGAUACUGACGCUGAGGAGCGAAAGCGUGGGGAGCGAACAGG
rnacentral:rRNA from 1 species